GGUGAGAUGGCCGAGCGGUCUAAGGCGCCAGACUAAGGACCAGGACAGUAGCUGUCCUAAAUCGCAAUGGGAGUCGAACCCACUGUAGAAAUCUGGUCCUCCGGGGCGUGGGUUCGAAUCCCACUCUCAUCA
rnacentral:tRNA from 1 species